rnacentral:rRNA from 1 species
AUUGAACGCUGGCGGAAUGCUUUACACAUGCAAGUCGAACGGCAGCACGGGGGCAACCCUGGUGGCGAGUGGCGAACGGGUGAGUAAUGUAUCGGAACGUGCCCAGUCGUGGGGGAUAACGUAGUGAAAAUUACGCUAAUACCGCAUACGAUCUACGGAUGAAAGCGGGGGAUCGCAAGACCUCGCGCGAUUGGAGCGGCCGAUGUCAGAUUAGGUAGUUGAUGGGGUAAAGGCCCACCAAGCCAACGAUCUGUAGCUGGUCUGAGAGGACGACCAGCCACACUGGGACUGAGACACGGCCCAGACUCCUACGGGAGGCAGCAGUGGGGAAUUUUGGACAAUGGGCGCAAGCCUGAUCCAGCCAUUCCGCGUGCAGGAUGAAGGCCUUCGGGUUGUAAACUGCUUUUGUACGGAACGAAAAGCUCUGGGUUAAUACCCCGGGGUCAUGACGGUACCGUAAGAAUAAGCACCGGCUAACUACGUGCCAGCCGCCGCAGUAA